rnacentral:lncRNA from 1 species
UUAAUGGCAGGUAGACGGAAAAAAGGUUGAACCAAUUCCAUGGCGGGUGGUGAAGGAUAAGGCACUUCAUUAGAGUUUACACCGACGUGGGUUGUACCACGGUCUAUACGAUCAUCAAUCUAAAGGAGCUAGGUUCAAAGCCACUCUAUUCCUUUCUUUCACACAGUGAAAGUUCCAUGAGUGAUCCGUUGGUGAAAUUUUGUCGCUAAUCCUCCGCUAGUAUUAUCACGGUGAUCAGAAAAUUCUCUCCGCCACUGCCUCUCGGGUACAACAGGUGAAGCAGUCUGUAAUGUCGGAGAUGGCUCACACACCUAGGUUACGCUACGUAAAAUUGUAGUGUUGGAAUUUAUGGAACGGAUAAGAAUGCGAAUAUG